rnacentral:rRNA from 1 species
UUGGAGGGCAAGUCUGGUGCCAGCAGCCGCGGUAAUUCCAGCUCCAAUAGCGUAUAUUAAAGUUGUUGCAGUUAAAAAGCUCGUAGUUGAAUUUCGGGAUCAGACUGUCGGUCGUGCCUCGGUACGCACUGGCAUUAUUGGUUCCUACCUUCUGAAGAACCGCGAUGUCAUUAAUUUGGUGUCGCGGGGAAUCAGGACUGUUACUUUGAAAAAAUUAGAGUGUUUAAAGCAGGCUUACGCUUGAAUACAUUAGCAUGGAAUAAUGAAAUAGGACGUUUGAUUCUAUUUUGUUGGUUUCUAGGAUCGACGUAAUGAUUAAUAGGGAUAGUUGGGGGCAUUAGUAUUCAAUUGUCAGAGGUGAAAUUCUUGGAUUUAUUGAAGACUAACUACUGCGAAAGCAUUUGCCAAGGAUGUUUUCAUUAAUCAAGAACGAAAGUUAGGGGAUCGAAGACGAUCAGAUACCGUCGUAGUCUUAACCAUAAACUAUGCCGACUAGGGAUCGGAUGAUGUUAAUUUUAUAAUGACUCAUUCGGCGCCUUACGGGAAAC